rnacentral:lncRNA from 1 species
AUUGAAAUAUGUUGAACCUAGCCUCUAUUACAUGUUGUGUACUUGUACAAUGCUGAAAAUAUUUGCUUAUUCGUUAUGCUCAGCCUUAUACGAUUUCCUUCCUUAUUUGUCACAUGUUUAUUACCUUUUGAAGUUAACUCCUCAAUUGAAGGGAGUACUUACCUUGAUUUUAUGCUGAUUGAUUCUGAGUCCCCAUAAUUAUCGACGAACUUUGAUUUUUACCUUAUUUGCUUCCUGCUUUCAAACUAUAUAUACACACUCUCUCAUUAACACAAACACACGAACACUUUGGUUCAAAGCCUUCGCUCUCCCACUAAAAGCUCUCUGCCCUCUUUUGUGAUUACUUACUACUGAUCUAAGUUAGCCGACUGCAAGCCAAGGCUAACUAUUGUGCUCUCUUAUAAUUCACUUUUUGUUUGUUGUCACUCUAUUAUAUGUCCUGAUUUCAAUUCAAGUUUCAAACCAAUAUGUUUCAUUUACUGCUUCAGCUUAUCAUGUUUCUGAUUAGUUCCUAUCUAUGGUUCUGUUGUUCAAUGUGUAAUUGACAUGCUUGCAUUAUAGCUUCAUCUGGCAUGCUAGUUCUACUCCCCUGGUAGUCUAUUUCAAUAUGACCCUAUACUGCUUUGAAUACUUGCCUACUUGUUGUCCAAUUUUGACAUGCACUUACUUUGCAACUGAAAUGUCACUUUAGAUAUUUGAUUCUAUGAUUGUUUCUGAAAUUUAUAUUGUGUUGAUAUUACUAGCUAUUCCCUAAUCCCAUAAACUCUCACAAGGAUUGUUAUGCUCACGUAACAAUGUGUUCACCUACAUGACCUAUGUGUCCCCAAAUCCCUUGACCCCUGUUUUUGGUUGCUGAACCUGCCUUGGUUCUAUGAUCUCUGACUAUGUGUGAACCUGUUUUGGGGGUGCUGUGUUUGGACUGUUGUUUACUACUCCACUCACUUUUCAAAACUGUUUGUGUUAUCUUUUACAAAACUAUUUCAAAUAAGUCCCUUUUCAAACUGUUUCCCUGCUUAAAUCUUUUCAAGAACUCUCACAUCUACUCUUAGGUAUUAAGUUCUGCCCCUCUAAUGUAUGACUGCUUAGGGAUCCCUAUAAGAUCUUUCUGAACUCUGAUACAUUAGAGCUGGCACUUCCACACUGCACUACUCAUAUGACUAUGAAAUCUGGGUGUGAGCACUGCCCGGGAUCCCUUGAGGUCCUUAGGGAACUUUGACACACCCGAACUAUAUGAAAAGAUAUGAAGCAAUUUGGCAUUGAGACUUUUGGAAAUCUGGGCCUAUUGGUAGGAUCCCUAUAGAGUAACUUCUUAUUUUUCUUAUCUACUUAUGUAAUUCAUUCGAUAUUGUCAUGUAAUAAUUUGUAAACGAACAUUGGGGUUUGGAUAGUGAAAAUGGGAGGGUAGCUAUGCAUGUUAUAGAUAUCAAAGAGGUAGAAACCAUGCUUUAGAUUUAUAUCCUCCUGUAUCUGCAUUAGAAUUCAUAUUUAUGACCAAUACAUGCAAAUCAUAUCAUAUUAGAAACCAUGCUCCUAGGUUCCAUGUCUACUGCUUUCAGCAAUUCAUUUUGAAAUCUCUAUUAUCACUUAGAAAUCCUAUUUCUAGGAUAAACGACUUUAAAGAUAAACUGUCGCCUAUGAGUUUUGAAAUUAUGCUGCAACCUGUUGUGCAUUUAGAAAUCAUGCUUUAGGAAUUCUGCAUAUAAACCAUUGUGAACUUUAUACAUGCAUCUUAGAUACCAUGCUUUAGGAUCUCAUUCGUACUUGCUCAGUCACAGCUAGUGUAAACCACUGCUUAUGGAAGAUGUAAAAACUGCUUCACAUUUGAUUAUCCUGUUUAAAAUAAACUGGUAAUAGUCCCUGCAUUUUAUAACACUUAGAACAGUAUGCUUUAGGUAAAACAACUCCUUCAUUGUGCUAAUGGUUCUGGUAACAAUUGUGCAUUAUCCUACGCCUAGGAAAGCCGUAGGUAAUCUAAUUUCUUGUAAAACUAGAAACUGCCCCUUUGUAUGUACUGCUUAAUGAUUAACAAGCUUAAAAUCAGUAGGCAAAUUGAUUAGGGCCCCUGCUUCUGAGUUGUAAAAUGAACCUACAUAUCUACUGUGUUCUGAUACUCAUCUAGACAUCAUGUUUUACGAUACUAAUGCCCUUAUCUAUGUUUGAGUUGUGCUGUUUACAUGCCUUAUCUAUGGAGGUAAAACUGAGCCUCUUAUUUGCUCCCUCCUGUUCUUAUUUGCUGAGAGUCCUAUGUGUUAUUGCUUGUCGCCUUAGUAUUUUUUCUUUAAACCUUAGGGGUCGGUCUAGAACUGCCUAUAGGUAGAGGUCCUAAAUCACCUCCAGGACCAUUAAGAAGGGACUGGUAACAGCACGCAAUAGAGAUCGCUGACCAACACUCGCUUUAAUAACCACUAAGGGGUGGGAAGGGUAGAUAUGGAUAUGAUGACUACGCGCUAAUGUCACGUGUAGCCCCUCAUUGAAGAGUGUUUAUCGGACAUUGUGUGGGGUGAUCUUAUAGGCUAACCAACCUAGGACCCCUCUUUUCCCAAAUCCCUUCUAUUUAAAACUUUGUUUUAUAUACAAUUUGUUCAAAACCUUUGUCUAAUUAUUUGAGUUAUACAACAUCCAACGUGCUUUACUUGCAAAUUAUUUGAUUCAACUAUUUAUUUGUUAAUUGACUAAUUUGUGAAUAUAAGUUCGGUCCGUACCCAUAGUUGUGGACCAAGAGAGGUGUCUAACACCUUCCUGUCGAGUUCAUUUCGAGAUCUUACCCUAAUCUCUGGUAAUACCAAACCAAUCCAAGAGUUAAUCAUUCUAGGUGCCCUAACGCACCAUAAUCCGUUAGGUGGUGACUCUUCAAAUACCCAAUUCCCAAAAGGAAAUGAGUUAUUACCACCAUGAAUGUCGAAACCCGGACUCUCUCCGCAAAGGGAAAAAGGGGGCGCGACAUAGUGAUGUCCUAUAAACAUGGUAUCUAUUAUUGAUUAGGCAUACAGUAAAACAGUUUUAAAUGGACAACUUGAGGUACUAUAGGCAUGCUUUCUAGCAAUAUUAUUUAAUGCAGCGUUGAAACUUAUUAAAUAAGUGGACAGAUUAGUUAGUUAAACCAAUUCAGAAUAAACACACGUGAAUUAAAUUGUUUUUCUAACUAAACUGGUUUUAAGUCCUAUAGGCAUGAUUUCUAAUUGAGCAUAAGGUGAAACAAACAACAAUCAUUUAACCAAAGUGAAAUCCCUAUUGGCAUGAUUUCUAUUAGAGCAUAUUUAAACCCUAUAGGCAUGGUAUCUAGUUAUUAAAAGCUGAUUUAGAUUCCUAUAGGCAUGGCUUCUAAUUAUGUGGAAGUUAAGCAAACAAAACUUAUUUUAAACCAAAUCAGCCUAUAGGCAUGUUAUCUAAUACAUUUGAAUCAACAUAAACCCUAUAGGCAUGGUAUCUACCCAAUUUUACAAUAUAUAACUACCCUCCCCUUUUCACUAAUCACCCCACUGUUUGUUUAUAAUAAUUAUUACAGACUAGUGAAUUGAAUAAAAAAAGAAUGGAAAUUAAUAUAUAAGGAUCCUGGAGUAGGCCCAAAUUAUUUCCAAACCUCUAGUAGUCUCAAAUACACAAUGUUCCAUAGCCAAUUUCAUGUCUAGGUGUGUCAGAGUUCCCUAAGGACCUCGAUGAUCCCAGGCAGUGCUCACACCUAGACCUGUGUCAAAUAGUAACUGAUUUAGGUGCAGUGUGGAAAUGUCAGCCCUGACAUGCCAGAGUUCAGAGAGAUCUCCAGGGUCUCAAGGAAGUACACAUAUUAGAGGGGCAGGACCUAGUAUUCUAAGAGUAAGUAGAAGUGCAUGAUAGUUUGAAAGACUUUAAUAGAAAGGUCUUAGGACUAAAAAGAACUUCUGAAUAGAAGUUUCAAUUAAGGAAACAAUCAAUAAGAAUCAGCAGAUAACAAAUAAGGCAAGGGAAAAACUAAUUAAGGCAAUAAAUUCAAUCAAACCGAGUAGAGAGGUAAGAAUCAAAAGUUUUGUUUAAGGAAAAGAGUUCAAAUCAAACUGGGAAAUAAGAACUUCAGAAUAGUCAAGAGUUCAAUCAAAGAGAAAAUCACGUCAAGAGUCAGCAAGUUUCACAGACAACUUAAAUAAAGUAGGAAAGAAUAGUCAGAAUGAACAUACACAUAUAGAAUCAAUGGAAAAGUUGAACUAAGAAACUCAAUAGAGGCAUAUUAGGAUAAUAAAACUAUGAGACAUUCAGAUGGCUGAAGAGAAAUCACAAGAACCAAGGCAAGAACACAGUCAAUACACCAGUACUCAGAAACCAAACAAAGAAUGUCAAAAUUAGGGCUUUUAGUAUAAAUGAGUUAAGGUUGUAGAAAACUUAUGAAAUCAGUCAAAAACACUUAAGAAGCGGAAGAUUAAACACUCAAAAAUCAUCAAACAUUUCGGAAAAGAAAUUUCUGAAAACCCUAGUUUAGAAAAUAAAGAAAAAUCAUUCGAAAAUCACACGAUUCUUGUAAAAACCAAAAGGCUCUUGUAAAACUCAUAUGAAAUAGGUCUAACCAUCUCAGAUCUAUACGGAUCUAAGAAGUUUAGAAGAAAGAAAUUAGGGUUUCGAGAAGAAUAAUCAUAUAGAUGAAGAAUCAAACCUAGAAACCCAUAGAUGUAGGAAUAUCUCGCUCGGAAUCAAACCAGGACAGCUUGAAACAGGCGAGAAAUGGCCAUAGAUGCAAGCAAACUAACCCCGGUCCCUUGAGGACCCUGAAGAUGGUGAUACCAGUAUAAGAGAGGCUAAUAGAGGCCUGGGGGUUGUGAGGAACAACCAUAGAUAGCCAUAGAUGAGUGAAGGCGAGGUCCGAUUAGGGUUAGGUUUGAGAGAGUUUGAGAGAGGAGAGAGAUUUCAUGGCGGCGGACAGUGGGAAAUGAAAGGGUUUGGGGGGUCGUUUGGGACUAAAAAAGGAAGGGACUGAUUGUGGCCGUUGAUUUAUAUGAUCAACGAUCGAGAUUAAAAGGGUUUGGGGCCGGAUUGGGUAUUAGGGUUUAGGCUGGGUAGGUUUAAAUUGAAAUUGGGCUGGUGCUGGGUUGAAUUAGGACCAAAAUUGAAAUACAAAAUAGGUCAGAUUUUAAAUAGCCACUUUUAGUAACUACAUAAUUUAUAAAAACAAUAAAUGAGUUCAAAAAAUAUUUCGUGUAGUAAAAUGAUUCAAAAAUAGUUAUUUAACGUUUUAAAAAUAUAAAAGACCAUUUUAUGCAUCAAUAUUGUAAUUAUGCAUUAGUAUGGUCUAUUAUUGCAAAGAUGUGCAAUUUAGCAUAAAAACAUAAAUGCAAUUACAAAAAAUACACUAAAAAUAUUUAAACACUAUGUUGUAAUAAAUAAUGAAUUUAAAUGGCUAAAUCACAACAAAAGGAUAUGAAGGACAAUUAUUGGAUUUUUUAUAAAUAAAAAAGAGAAGAAAUAAAUUGAUUUGGUGCUUUAGAAAUUAUAAAAAAAUUAUAAAAAUGCUUAUGUAUGCUUAUAACUACAUAUGUGCUAUUUUGAAAGUAUAUAUAUAUGUAUUAAAAAUAUAAGAAGAAAAAUUGGGUAUCAAAAAUAUGUAUAAACACCAGUUGACUUCCCUGUAGUUUGCUCCCCCUCAAUAGGAGCAGUAAGUAAUUUGAGGUGCAUGUAGUCGACUGCAUCAGUUGACUUCUCUGUAGUUUACUCCCCCUCGAUAGGAGCACUGAGAGGCUUGAGACGCAUGUAGUCGACUUCUUCAGAAUCUAUGACUCCCCCUCAAGGAGUGUUAUAGUUGACUUGUUAUGUACCUACACACAAUACAUAUAUCCUUUCUCCCCCUUUUUGACAUCAGCAAAGAGGGAAUAACACGACAGCAUGCAUAAAUAGAAUCCAUAGCAGAAUGUACUGGUAUAGUUAGACCAUAAAAAUGAAGAAAGAAAAAUAUCCACAGACUGAUAUCUCAGCCCAAAAAAUAGCACAGCAAAAAUAUUGUCUUAAACUUCCACAAUAACAACGUAGAAAAUAGGAAAGAGUGUUGUAGACAGCUUCUUCAGUCGAUCAAAGAUGGUGUUGGCUGAGACACUCAUUCCAUCAAGCCUGUCAAGAACCUCCUUGAAAGCCUUGACAGCGUUUUCCCUAACUCUGAGAACUGCAACCCAUAUUUUUGAGACAUCAGACCCUAUUUCCUUGGAGGUAGCAUGAAUGGUACCAACAAUGAACUGGGUGGCAAUGAGGAGAUCCUUGAUUGUAGAGAGCUCUUUGCCAAUGGCGCUAAUUUUCUCAGAUAGGUCAGAUCCACUUAGGCUAGGAUGAGAAGCAGAAGGUUUGGGCUUGGAGUCUGUAUGGGCAGUCUUGACAUCACUCUCCUGUUUCUUGACCCAUAAACCCUUCACACACACAUACCCCAUAAUAGCAAAGUAUCUAGAGUUGUAUGAUUUUGAAACAGUAGUAAAGGAGUAUGCAGAGAGGGAAAUGUUGUGGGCUUCCAGAAUGUGGGUGAUGGUCAUUCCAUAGGGUAGACUAGUGGGAUCUGCGGCACUUUCAAUCAUGAAAUUGAUAACCCAGGAAGACAACUUGAUUUUGAGUUUGGUCACAAGAAAGUAAACCAGAAAAGUAUCUCGUAGAGAGAAGGUUGAGAAAGAGCCAAUACGGAAAAGCAGAGUAGUUUCCAUAAUGUGAGCUAGAACACGAGUUUCAAAACUAACAUCACUAGGACCUAGUUGGUUUGGAAGGGAUUCAGAUGGACACUCAGCAAUACAUCUUUUGGCUUGAUCAAAAGAAAUUUCAAAAUCAUCGGGCCAGGAAUUCUUAAAGAGCAUAGGGAAACCAGAACACUUGCACUGAAAGAUUGAAUCAAACAUGGAAUAGUCAAGAACAAUACGCUUUCCUAGUACUAAGGAUUCCAACUUAUCAGACAUACUGGAAUAAAGAUUUCGAUAGAACAUUCUUACUAGAGGUUCAUAGACAUUAGGAGGAGGAACAGAAAAGAACUUUUACCACCCUUGAUAAACAAAAAGGUCCUUUACCUUACAAUUUAGGGCUUCUAUGUCAUCAAGGUCGACUACCCUCCCAUGAGCAAUAGUCUUGUCUGAUAGGGCAAAAAAGAGGUCCCUGUUUGGAGAAUCCCAAAAAUUGAGUUCCGACUCAAGGGAAUUGGAAAGGUCAACUUUUGAUUUCUUUGGAGUGGUGGAGACAAGGGAUUCUUCCGUGGGUCUUUUACCCAUGGAUUUUUCUCCUAAAGGUUAAGAAUUAUCAGAGAAAUCCACCUGAGAAGAGGCAAACCCCUCAGAGUGAUCGGACCCUAGGUCUACCUGUUCAGGGGGUUGAGAAGGGGGUUUUCCCUUGGAGCGGGUGCUCUUUCUAGGGAGGCAGAAGGAGUUUUAGAUUGUUUAGCCAUUGUAGGAGGUUGGUGGUGGAGCAAGAUUUCGAAGAAGGGGUAUAUGGGCGAUAGAGACAAUAGAGAUUGGUAUGAGAAGACAGCAUAAAAAGGGUUUUCUAACAGUUGUGUACAAAAAAGGAAAAGGCGUUAGUUGAUCAGACGCGAUGGUUGGUUUUCCUUUUUUGAGUUCUGUGACUGAUGUGAAAAGAGACGAAAAAGGAGGGAAAAUGGAGGUGUAAUUAAUGCGUAAAAAGAAUGUGGACUUUUCUAUAUAUGAGAUUAAAUAAUGACACAAAGGUCCUACUAUUAGCUAUUAAUGCAAAUAAUUCCAAGAAGUUUUCUAAGUGAACAAAAUCUUUCUUCUAAUAAUAGCUUAGUAAAGAUAUCUGCUAGUUGAUCAGCUAUUCCUACAAAGGAUAUUUUUAUAACCUUUAAGAACAUGAUCUCUAAUAAAGUGAUGUUUGAUAUCAAUAUACUUUGCCCUAGAAUGAUGAACAAGAUUUUUAAAAAGACAAAUAGCACUUGAAUUAUCACAAAAAAUUUGUAUAAGUUUAAAAGAAAGUUCAUAGUCACCCAAUUAAUGGGACAUCCACAGUAAUUGUGCACAGGAUUGUCCAAUAGCAAUGUAUUCAGCUUCAGUGGUAGAUAAGGCAACUGAUGCUUGUUUUAUUACUGUUCCAGGAUAUCAAUGCCUUUCCAAGUAAUUGACAUGUACCACUUGUGCCCUUUUCUAUCUUCCUUAUCACCUGCAAGGUCAGCAUCUGGAAAACCUUCUAAUUAAAAGAGUUAGAGCGAGGAUACCAUAAUCUAUGGGAGAAAGAAGGCUCUCUUAGUUUCUUAAGACCCCAAGAAUAUCAAGUUCAAUCAGCGACAGUACUCAUAAAUGAAAAGAAAAGAACAGUAAGGAACCCUAGGCUUUUUGAACUCACAAUUGCUCUUAGAUGAUAUCAGUGUUAGGUUGGCAUUCGUGUCUUUGGUGAGAGUAUUAAAGGCCCUUUUAUAGUGUAAUUAAGGCUAUAUGGGUUGUCAAAUUCAAACCAGUAGUGGAGAGUGACAUAUGGUAAAUGAUGAUAGCAAAUCGAGUGAAAAUCAGAAAGUAACAGAGGGGGAUUCAUUGUUGAGUUUACAUGAGAUGGGGAAUCGAUUGUUGAAGGCUUUGAACCAACGGACAAACCCUAAAACCCAGAGGUCACUGUGUUUGAUUUCUGAAUAUAGAAUUUGAUGAUGAAUCUCUGUAGAAAGUUCCAUGAAUACCCCGAUUUGGCGGAGCAUAAGAGGAUUUGAAGUUACACGUUUAAGAUAGGGUUCUAGAUUUUUUGCAUUUGAAUUUGAUCGAUGAAAUAGAUAAGAAACCAACGAGAUUCAUGGAUUCAGAACGCAAAGCAAAUACAUUUUGGUCGAUUUGUGACCUUGCACGAAUUAGUCUAAGGUUUUUGGAUUGAUUUGGUUUAUGAGGUUGAGAGAAAAGAGAGAUGAAAGAGAAAGAGAGGCGGCGAGGUCAGAGAUGAAAUAAUUUAGGGUUUGGUUAAUUGGGAGUUGGUCUCUACGGUUAAUGGGAUGGUCUCUAGGGUUAAUAAUUUAGGCGGCAUAACAACUAUAGGAACCGCCGCCCGCUCCCGAAUCGAAUAAAUUUAGCCCUGGGGUAGAAGCGUAGGAAUCCUAUCAGGUGCCAAGAUAUUUCCAAGUACCAAAAGAGAUGGAUACAACAAAAUCCACGGCGAAAGAGCUGGAGCAAGUUGCAUUGUUCGAAGAAUUCUUAGAAAGGCAAUUCCACUUGGGAUAGGACUGCACCCGAACUUAGGUCUGGCUUUAUUAAAUUUCUUAAUAAAGCCGAUUGUUUUGCAUGGUCGCAUGCAGAUACGAUAGGUAUCCCGAUAGAGAUAGCCAUACACAAGUUAAGUUUGGAUCCCAACAUACCUCCGGUAAGACAAAAUAAUCGCCCUAUUGCAGAGGCCAGAAAUAAAAUCAUGAAAGAGGAGGUAACUCGCUUACUUAAUAUCGGUUCGAUCCGAGAGGUAGAGUAUCCAGACUGUCUAUCUAAUGUAUUUGUUCCUAAGAAGACCAAUAAAUUUUGCAUGUGCGUAUAUUAUAAGGACUUGGAUAAGGUAUGCACGAAAAAAUCGUUCCCAUUGCCAAACAUUGAUCAAAUGAUCGAUGCGAUGUCCGAGCAUGAGUUAAUGCAUUUUCUUGAUGCUUAUUCUGGAUACAACCAAACUAUGAUGAACCCGGAGGAUCAGGAAAAGACUUCGUUCAUAACAAAUUUUGGCACAUAUUACUAUAAUGUGGUGCCCUUCUGGUUGUAAAAUGCUGGAGCCACUUAUCAGCCGCUCGUAAACAAGAUGUUUGAAAAACAAAUAGGAAAAACUAUGAAAGUUUAUAUUGACGAUAUGCUUGUUAAGUCUUUGAAUGCAGGUGAUCACCUUAAGCAUCUGCAAGAGACUUUGACAUCCUAAGGAAGCAUAACAUGAAGCUUAACCCCGAUAAAUGCACGUUCGAGGUUAGCUCGGGAAAGUUUCUAGGAUUUCUGGUGUCACAAAGGGGGGUUGAGGUGAACCCCGAUAAGAUCAAGUCCAAAGAAGACAUAUCGGACCAACUGUCAAGCAUGAAAGAAGUUCAACAGUUCACGGGAAGAUUGGCAGCUUUGAGCAAGUUCAUUUCCCGGUCGUCAGAAAAAUGCCAUCAUUUCUUCGCAUUGCUCAAAAAGAAAAACAAUUUCAAUGGACCUCGGAAUGCCAGUAGGCCUUGAAAGAUUUGAAAAUAUACUUGUCAAGCCCUCUUUUACUUUCAAAAGCAAAGGAAGGUGAAACACUAUUGGUCUACCUCCCAAUAUCGGAUGUAGUUGUAAGUGUUGUUCCAGUCUAUGAGGACGAAGGUACACAAUCUCCCAUUUAUUACGUUAGUAAAAUUUUAACGGGAGUGGAAACUCGCUACCCGCAUUAGGAGAAGUUGGCCUUAGCUCUCAUAGUCAUCGCUCGGAAGUUGAGGCCCUACUUCCAAUGUCACCUGAUAGCUGUGGUGACCACAUUUCCCUUACGGAACAUCCUUAACAAACCCGAACUCUAGGGUAGGUUGGCCAAAUCGAAAUGAGUGAGUUAGACAUAUAAUAUAAACCAAGGACUGCGAUUAAGUCACAAGUCUUUGCUGGCCGACUUUAGUCCGGGAUUACCGCCUCUAGCAAACAAAGAGGCAGUGAUGGUGUCGGAAUCGACAUUAGGAGUUUGGACCUUAUUUAUGGAUGGAGCCUCCAACGUGAAACAGUUCUGGCAUGACAUAGUAUUAACCACGCCUUCGGGAGAAACCCUAAGGCAAGCCAUCAGAACGGUUCUUUUAACUAACAGAGAAGCAAAGUAUAAGGCUUUUAUUGCAGGACUCGAACUAGCCCGGGGACUAUAUUCUGAGGCCAUAGAAAUUAAGUGCGACUCACAGCUGGUGGUAAAUCAGGUCUGCGAGAUCUUCGAAACCAAAGAGAGGCGCAUCCAACAAUAUGUGAUAAAAGUUCAGGCUUUACUAGCAUAAUUUCCGGAGUGGUCGAUUACUCAAAUCCCGAGGAAAGAAAACACAGAAGUAGAUGCACUAGCUAAACUCAGUUCAUCAAUAGAAAUGAAGGGAUCAGAGUCUGGAACGAUAGUAUAACUGAUGCACUCGAUCCUGGAUACAGAUAGCUACAAUAGAAAUCAUCGAUUAUCUCAAGCACGGGAAGCUGCCCGAAGACUCCAAGGCAUCUCAGGUGCUGCGCACCAAAGCAACGUGAUAUAGCUUCAAAAGAUACCAACUGUACAUAAAAUCUUUCCAAGGCCCGCUGGCCCAAUGUUUGGGGAAAUCCGAAGCUAAUUAUGUUAUACGAGAAGUCCACGAAGGGCUAUGCAAAAAUCAUUCGGGCGCGGAUUCCUUAGUACUAAAACUGGUAAGAGCAGGAUAUUAUUGGCCCCGCAUGGAAAAAGAUGCCAAAGACUUUGUACAAAAAUGUGAUAAGUGUCAAUGCUACACAUCACUGGUACGUCAACCGGCAGAGCGACUGCAUUCGGUUCUGUCUCUGUGGCCAUUCAUGAAAUGUGGAUGGAUAUCGUCGGACCAAUGUUGUCGCUCCCAGUAAGGUAAGAUUUCUUUUGAUUUUAACUAACUAUUUUUCUAUGUGGGUGGAAUCAAGUCCUUAUCAAAAGAUUGGAGAACGCGAAGUGGUGGAUUUUUUGUGGGAAAACAUAAUUUGCAAGUUCAGAAUACCAAAAGAGAUAGCAUGCGAUAAUGGGCCACAAUUUAUUGGCGCAAAAAUCACAAAGUUCCUCGAAGAUUUGAAAAUAAAGAGGAUCACAUCUUCACUCUACCAUCCAAGGGCAGAUAGUCAAGCAGGGUCAAUGAACAAAGUGAUUAUGCAAAACCUCAAGAAAAGGUUGGAAGCGUCUAAAGGUAAAAGGUCCAAGGAACUACCCGGAGUUUUAUGGGCGUACUGAACAAUGGCCAAAUCAAGCACAGGAGAAACACCCUUUUCCCUUGUGUACAGAGUAGAAGCCUUAAUUCCAGUGGAAGUAGGGGAACCCAACUUGAGAUAUUUCCAAGCAAAUGAAGAGUCAAACUACGAAGCAAUGUUAGUAAACUUGGAGCUACUAAAUGAGCGCAUGGACUUGGUGCAUAUAAGAAUGGCAGCCCAAAAGCAGAGAAUGGAACGAUAUUAUAAUCGAAAAACCAACCUCUGUUAUUGUUACAUCCUAUAUUUUAAUAUUAGGAUGAGUCAUAAUAAUCCAUAUGAGCUUGAAGUGAUUAAGACCAUUCAUAAGGUUAUAGAGAAUUUUUGACUAUGUUAUUAUAAGACUCCAUAAGUUUAACAACAUUGAUACCAUUAUGUACAUUUGAUAUGGUAUUCUGAGUGAAACAUUUUUGUAAAAAAAUUUGAAACAUAUAAUUUUAUAUAGUAAUUAAUAUUACUUUUUCGAAUAUGCUUUAAAUUAUAUGCAUAAUAUGAGAAAGUUUAUGAAUUUUCUUUAUUGUAAAGAUAGAAAUUAGUUUCUCACAAGAAAAGAAGGUUAUCUUUUUACCAUUUUAAGAAUUAAGCAUAUGAAAAUUUGUACUCUUUAUAUGAGAUUAGGAAAAUUAUAAGUUGAGAAAAUAUAUAUAUUUUUACAUGAAUAUUUUAAUGAAAUAAUAGUGUAUGUAUUGAUUUUAUAUGGUACCACAUGACCAUGAUAGUAAGAUGUAUAAAUUGUAUUAAAAGUGAGUAGUAUUUUAAGUAAUUUGAGAUAAUUCUUAAUUACGUGUGUAAUUGAUUAAUUAUUGGUUAGUGGGAGAUUAACAAGUUAAUUAACAAUUAGUGAAUGAUUAAUUAGGAUCUUGGAUAAAGCCUAAAAGGCCUUAACGUGGCAGCCAAGAGAGCCAAGGAUUGUGACUCAUUAAGUCCAUAUAUAGGUGGUACAUAUGUGGCUUAGUCAUAUAGUAUGUAGGCCCACACCCACAAAGCUUUAAAACAUCUCUAAUUCACUUUAGGAGAUGUUGAUAUGUCUAUCAUAUGAGAAAGGAAGGUUCCAGCCAACUCAAACAACAAUUUGCAUCUUAGUAUCUUAAGUAACGUUAUUUUUUUUGAAACAAAAUUCAAGCAAGUCCUUUUAGCAUCUUAGCAACGUGAGAUAUUGCAAUUUUGAGGGAGUAUGGUGCAAUCUUUCUCAAAAAUAUCAUACGGAUUUUCCCCUACUUUGAUCUGUCGUUGUGUGCUUUUUACAAAAAGACGUGUGUUAGAGGGAUUGUCAAGAGAAUCGGCUCAAGUAUGUUAAGGCUAGUCCUUCUUUCUAUUGGCAUAUUCCAAGUAACGAUACGAAAACGUAAUGACAUUCCAUAACGGUUCUACUCUUAGAAUUUAAGGAUGUCUAUGUUAUUUAUUCCCGUAAAGUGAUAUUCAAGCAUGUCUAAGUAUGUAUCUAGUUCCCUAUUAAAGUAUUUGAUAAAGAUGUUAAUGUUCAUAAUGGUAUUAUAUGUAUGAUUAUUUACCACAAAGCUACGGCCGGUCGGGCAGUCAUGCAUUUACCACCAAGCUAUGGUUGGUUGGGAAGUUGUAUAUUUACACCGAGCUACGACCGAUCGGCUAGUCAUGCAUUUACUACCGAGCUACGACCGGUUAGGCAGUUACAUAUUUACCAUAGAGCUACGACAGAUCAGGCAGUCAUGCAUUUACCAUCAAGCUACGGUCGGUUAGGAAGUUACAUAUUUACCAUCGAGCUACGGUCGGUCAAGCAGUCAUGCAUUUACCACCGCGCUAUGACCGGUUGGGCAGUUACCACUGAUCAGUUGUGUAGUCAUGCAUCAUAAGAUAUGAAUAAUAAUCCCAAAGAGAAGCAUUAUAUAUAUAUAUAUAUAUGUGUGUGUGUGUGUGUGUGUGUGGUGGCACUUCAGAGAUUCAGGUUGAUUCUUAUAUGUCUUUAAUUAAUAUUCACUUAUUGUCAUAUUUCAGUUCCGCCUUACAUACUCGGUACAUUAAUCGUACUAACAUCAUUUUGUUGGGGAGUUCCAUUCAUUCCUACAAGUAUAGAUAAUUAGUUUGAUGAGCCCUCAUAGUAGACGAGGUUAGCAUUCAGCGAAGGAUCGGUAAGACUCCACCUCAUUCGGAGUGCAGCCGUGUCUAUGAGUUGUCGUGUCAGAAUUUUGCUACAGACUUAUGGGUAGGUUGUUGCCCUAUCCUAUUUGAUGUCUAAUACUCUUAGAUUCUUUGUAGACAGAGGUUCAUUUUGUACAGUAUGUCAGAGUCCUUGACGGCCCAUAUGUAUUCACGUUUUAUGAAAGAUAAUUCAUUGAUACAGUGUUUUCCCACUUACAGUUAUACAUUACGAGUUGUGGCACACUUAUAGUUAUAUGUUAUGAGUUGAGGCCAUGUUGGCCCAUCAUAGUUACAAAGAAAAAAAGAGUUGCAGAGUGGUUCGCUCGAUCCAGUACAACAUUGGGUGCCAGCCACGCCUCCCUAGGUUUGGGGCGUGACAAAGUGGUAUCUGAGAAGGUUGUGUCCUAGGAAGUCUAUAAAGCUGUGCCUAGUAGAGUCCCACUUAUGGGUGUGUUGCGCUCCACACUUAUAAUUGAGAAGCUAUAGGGCAUUUAUGAAAUGUUACCCUUUUUUUGUUUCCAGAUCGUGCCAUAGAGCUGAGUUGUAAGAAGUCUGUAUGAAGCUUUCACCGGAUUUUGUAUGCACUAGAGGUGUAAGUAUCACAUUAGAGCUUUAAGGCGUGGAUGUAAUUUCCACCUAUGUGGAAGGGUGAUUAUGAAAGCAAUAGAAGAAACAAUGUAAGACUGAAUAAGGUAAAGGUGAAGAAGAUACGAGAUACUCAAGUACAAAAGGUUGCGAAUUGUCCAGACUUCAGAUAGAGGUUAGGUUUUAGUUUAGUUUACAGAGGAGACUUUGGCAAAAAUUUUGUAAGUUUCUAAGAGUUAACAUUCGAGGACGAAUAUUUCUAAACGAGGGAAGGAUGUUACAUCCCAUACUUUAAUAUUAGGAUGAGUUGUAGUAAUUUAUACGAGCUUGAAGUGAUUAAGAUCAUUCAUAAGGUUAUAGAGGAUUUGUGAUUAUAUUAUUAUAAGACCCCGCAAGUUUAACAACCUUGAUAACAUUAUACACAUUUGAUAUAGUAUUUUGAGUGGAGCAUUUUUGUAAAAAAGUUUGAAAAAUAUGAUUUUAUAUAGUUAUUAAUAUUACUACUUUCGAAUAUGCUUUAAAUUAUACACAUAAUAUGAGAAAGUUUAUGAGAUUUUCUUUAUUGUAAAUAUAGAAAUUAAUUGUUAUACGACCCUCGAUCUGAUGAUGUUGGCCGAGCUACCUGGAUCAAUCAACACACUCUUAACUCGAGAUUAAUUUAUAAGUAUAGAUAUUACCAGUGCAUCAUUAUGCGGUUGUACGAUGCCUUCGACAUCCUCAUCACUGAACGAAAUGGUUUCCUCCAGUAUAUAAUCUCGGGUUCAUUUUUUCCUAGUGAUGGACACCUUAGUGCGCUUUAGCAUUGGUCCUUGGUGGACAUCGACUCCUCCAAUGAUCAUGUUGAUGACAUGCUAUGAUUUUUCUUGUUCGGUCUAAUUUUUAGAGUCUCUAUUCCUAAAGUGAUUUUUGGCUCGAUCACUCGGAAAUUCCCGAAAAUGUUCGUUAUUGAACAACCGGGCCACUUCUUCUUUUAGUUGUCGGCAAUCCUUAGUUCUAUGGCCAUGAGUGCCACGAUACUUACACAUCAAGUUAGGAUCUCUCUGGGCAGGAUCGGACUGCAAUAGUAGGGGCCACUUGGUAUCUUUAAUGGGCCUGAUGGCAUAUACGAUGCUGGAAGCAUUGACAUUGAAGUUAUAUUCCGAUAACAUGGAAGCAUUGACAUUGAAGUUUUCUUUAUGUUUUGUAAUUCUUGUGUUGGUUUACUUGUUAUACUCCCGUGUUAUUGUUGUUGUUAUGGUACUCAGUGUUGUUGGGUCGAGGGAUAUGUAUGGUUGUGCUAUUAGAAUUGUUUCGAGGAAAUGUUGUGGCAUAUGUGGUGCGAGUUGUUAUAUUAUGUUGUUAUGUUUUUGGCACACGUGGUAUUGUUGAAAGGAUUGUUGGGGUGUUCGCACGUGAGUUGUCCGUGCUAUUGUUAUAUGCAUAUUGCACAUGCGACAUGACAAGGCGGGCUAUAUAUGUAGGUUUGCUCAUGUGGCAAGACAAGACGGAAAUAUUAUUAUGCAUGUGUGGCAAGACAAGGCAGGCAUUUACUUUAUUGUUAUGCACGUGGCGAGAGAAGAGGGGCUAUAUUGGGGAUGAAUUGUGAUGAAUUAUGAUGCCCUGUCAUAGCUUGGGGCAUUGUUUUUGAUAAAAUUUGUGUAUUGGUGAGCUUACUUUGUAUGAGUCAUGCAUUUUACGUUUUGUUGUGUUGUUUCCUAUGUACCAUUCGUUGUCUCUGAUCUUACUUGUUUACUCCAGUUGUGAUAGAAUACUUGCACAAACAUACACCGUAGUUAGUCACCAGUCGAAAAAGAUGAAACUUGAUGUUUAUUGAUCAUUUACAUGUAUUCUUUUACACCUUCCCUCUGCGCUUGAGUUGUACUAUUGGCACGUGAAUUGUCCGUGAGAUUAUGAGAUAUUGUUACUACUAUCACGUGAGUUGUCCGUACGGAUAUGAGAUAUUAUUACUCUCUUAGUCUUAGCAUGUGAGUUGCUCGUGCAGAUAUGAGGUAUUAAUGGUAUUGGCGCAUGAGUUGUCUGUGCGAUUGCAAUUUGUAAUGCGGGCACAAGAUGCCAAGUGACUAGGGUUCGUGUUUUGGGACCCGUGAUAUAUGAUUAUGAGGUGUGGUACCUCAAGGAAGUUCUUGCAUAAACCUUGUGUGAAAGUGAUCGUUUUUAUUGGUUGUUACUUGUUUUUUCUUUACUUGGUUUCACCGGGCUUUAACUGUAUUCUAGUUACUUUACGGCGUUAGUACGUGUUGCUCCUUGGUGUUAAUUGUUGUUCUAGUUCUUAUUGCAUGUAUUAUAAUCUUACCAUGUUUAGCCUUAUAUUCUUUCCUGUUAGUUUUAUAUUCAUAAUUGUACAGGUUAUUAUGUCUAGUAGAUGUCUUAAAUGUCUUUCGUUAUUAUCCACCGAGGUUAGUCUUGAUACUUACUGGGUACCGAUAUGGUACACUCAUGCUACGCUUUCUGUAUAUUUUUGUGCCGAUCCAGGUACCUCAGAGCUUGUUGAUCAUUAGAUAGUUGAUCGGAUAUUGACGUGGAGACUUCAAGGUACACUAACCGUUGUGUUUGCAGGCCUCGAAGUUACCUUCUGAAGUUUAUUUCGUACUGUUAUUUCUAUUCCGAAACAUUUGAACUUAGAUUUUUUAGUGAUCUCAGUAGAGCUUAUGACGUGUACUACCGAUCUUGGGUUGUUGUAUAUCAUGUUGGGAUUGUUGGCUUUAUAUAGAGAGAUCUUGUUCAUGUUUAAUAGUUGUUUGGUUAAAAUCGAAUAUUAAUUCAGUUAGUGUUAGGCUUACCUAGUCAAAGAGACUAGGUGCCAUUACGACAUAAACUGAGGUCGUGACAGUGUUGCUGCAAAUGUUUGGAAAUACUCUUUGGAGUUUAUAUCUCUAUUUUUAGAGAAUUUGGUGAAGAUUUAAGUUGGUUUUGGUUAGAGUUUUAGAUUGAUGCUCAACGAAGAAGAAGACAUAAAUAAAUUGUAUAUAUUUUAUUUUUUGGGUGCAGAAACGACAUAAAAAUAUAUAUUGCUAACAUAAUUGUAUAUAAUUAUGUUACCUUGUAUACAAUUGUAUUUAAAUUGUAGUUUUUGACCGAAUUUUGCAUACAAAAUUUGUAUUUAAGUUGUAGAUAAAUUGUGGAUUGUUACCAGAUUUUGUAUAUAGUUUGUAAAAAACUUUAGUUACUUUCUAUAAAUAGGAAAACUUAGAAAAUUGGAUGAAUAAGUUUAAAAUUUUGUAUAUAUACAAAAAAAAAAAAAGUCCCAAAAAUUAAACCUGAUAGAAGAAUUAGUGAAGGACCAAAACCAAUAUUGAAAAAGAACGUACAAACGCAUCUAGAGAUCAAUGAUUAUUAUCCUACAUAAAAAAAAUUACUAGAAACACCAGAGAGCUUUAUUGUAUAGGAUAGAAUGUGCUAUGCCAGAUGGCUGCUUAAAAGAAUGAUACGUGGAAUCGGAGGCAAUUAUCUCGCUUGGUACCAGAAGGAAUAACACUCAUAUAGAGAUAAUAAAUACCCUCCGUCCGGUGACAUUAAUGAAGAAUAUUUCACAUCAUUGAGUGCACUACGCGUUACAGAGAAUUUGUCAUUUAUGCUCUCUAUUACACCUUUACCAGUUGUCCUCAUAAUUGAUAUUAAAGAAGAGCACGAUCCUAUGACCUUGUUUCCUAGACGUAGCGAUAAAUAGUGAGCUCUGCUAACAUUAUAAAGAGAGAGACAUUCUCUGGCAAACUGAUACUAUAAUCUAUUCAAAGUUCUAUACAACUUUAUAUUCUCACUUUGUGUUCUUAUUAUAUGUUGCACCCGGAAUUAUUAUUUCUGCUAUUGCGUCUUCAUAUCAAGGCUAAGUAUUACAUAUCUUUUCAAUUAUUUCAUUAUUUCAAAAUCAAAUUAAUUUACUUGUCUAGAAACCACGUAUAAAUUCAAUUGUACUAUUUUACAAGUAAACAUUCAUAAGGGUAAAGUAUGGGGAUAUUAACUAAGUGCCUGCGCAAAAUUUCAGCCAUAAUCACCAUAAUAUUUACAGUGAAAAUAAGAAAAUGCGAAAUUUACAACUCUGUUCUAGCAACAACAAAUAGAGACAGCAAUGCUAGCCUGGAUGCAUAGAGACAAAUUUAGGAUGGGUUAAACGUGGAUUCAACUGAACUUAUUGUUUUCGACUAAACAUUUAGUAUAGAUAUGCAAAUAAAAUAAAAUUCUACAUAUACAAUAAGAUCAGCCAACAAAUUAAUUCUAAAUUAUGAAUUCACCUUCGAUAUAGUUGUACAAAUCAUCUUAUUAACAAUGCCAUAGAAGUGAAGCCCAAAAUCAUAGCACCAGUGAAAGCAUACACCCCUCUUUGUUUAACCAUAAUGUUAGCCGCAUAUAUUACCACCUCCGACGUGAUCUUGUUGCCAUCCUUUACAACACCUCGGCGGCGUUUUCCGGCGAAUGAUAGCAGUACAAGCACCAUAAUCCACGUUAGUACGGUGGUUCUUACGGCCAGAACAAUAAGUGCUCCAACAAGGAAGGCGGCAGCUGCAGCAGCAAAGACAAGUGGGACAACUGAGGAGGCUUCUCUGUUUACAGAGGGCAGGAUAAGAAUAGACGUUACUGUAACAUUCAUCUCUUUUGUUUUCUGAAAGUUUUUUAAUGUAGAGAUUAAUGUUUGGAGAGGAACAAUGGAGCUGCAAGUCGUGGCUGUUAUUUAAUCAUGAAAAAGGUUUCCUAGGGAAAACCAAAGGCAAUUCUUGAUAGGAUUAGGUGGAGAAAUAGGGAAUCGUAAGGCAUGUGGCACAUGGCAGGGUUGGCAAAUCAUUCUUCCUAAGUUCAUAGUAUCACUACUCAUGUUUUCUAUAAUCAAGUGGAUUAAUUUAUAUUUUCUUGGAAAGAUCUCGCAUAUAAUUGUCACAACCUGAUUUUCUAGGUGCAUUUUAAAACGUUUCUGAUGAAAAAUAUUAAUGUUUGCGUUCUAAUUUAUUUGAACCUGUUUGAUUAGGCACGAAGUUUAAGAAAAAAUGAAGAUUUUUGGAAUUUGUGGUCCUAAACAAGUCAAAAGUGGCCCAGAGUAUUUGUGUGGUUAUAAAAGCUUCUCAUUAAGGGUAGAAUCGUAAGUUUAAGCUAAAUUGUUACCAAAUUUAGAAAGGGGUCAUUCUUUUCGAAACGGACAAAAAAGGAAAUAGGUUCAUAUAAACUGAAACAGAGGGAGUAGAAAGGAAGUCUUAGCAUAACUGGUAAAUUGCAGUCAUAUGAUUAGGAGGUCACAAGUGCUAGCCGUGGAAACAACCUCUUGCAGAAAUGCAAGGUAAGACUGUGUAUGAUAUACCCUUGUGGCUAGGCCCUUCCUGGGACUUCGCGCAUUGUAUGGGUCCAAAUUUGAACAACUACAACCAUCGACGAGUACAACGAAACGGCGAGUGCCCCAUAACCUGACGCCUUGCAGAGGACGACCUUGAGACAAACAAGAGAUUGUACGACCCUUGUAAUAGUAUAGGCCCGUUAGGGGAUACUAAGAAUAUUCCUUCGAAUAUUCUUUAUAAUCAGUCUUUUACAACUUAGAAGAGACUGACUCCCUAUAUAUAUAGUGAACCAUAACUUUGUAAAGGGGGGAUUCAGGGUAUUGGCCAUAAUUCUACUUAUGAAUGAGAAGUGUUCUUGAAAGGAUUUUACUUGUUCAGAUUGAUAAAGAAAUCUUAUUACCCGUCUUCUCCUUAUCCAUCUUUCCAUCUAGAGAUUAUUAUACUUAGCUAAGAUUUACCUCUUCAUCUUUGAUUGAUUUGUUCAAAAAGGUUUCAAUAUCUUUUGAGUCAAACAAUUUGGCGCCGUCUGUGAGAAAUUCUAUAGCUGAAAUCGUAGUUUUCAUCUAGAUUCUAGAAAGAAAUAAUUACUUUUCUUUAGCUUCAUAAAGGCCAACAAUGGCGGAAAAGGGAGAAGCAAGGCUAAAGGCAAUAGUGGGUGUCACAAACAACCUCUUAAAUUCCCUCAACGAAGCAAGUGGAGAAGAUAACGAAAAUGCAACACCAAGUGUUACACCUGAGGGAGAGAUCUCACCUCCCCUGCACGAGGAUCUAACGAUCUUGCGCGAGAGGGAAACCUCAGCAGGAGAAAUGCCACCGGUCAUCAAAAGGCUAUUAGAAAAAUACCUUGAACAGCUUGCUCGAGAAACCCGUUCGGGGAGAUAUCGAAGACACAUUACCAACAGAAACCGUAGCUGCUGCCGAUGAGCCAAAUACUACACGAACAGGUAACACCCGUACUAUUGCUGAUGCAAGUGACGAUGCAUUUACAACCAUCUUAAAGAAAAUGGAAGAGAUGGAAAAUGAAAACAAAACACUCCGCGACCAGAUGAAGGAACAUCAGGAAAGGGUCAAUAAACUACCAGGCGCUCCGAAGUUGUUACCAAAAUGCGAUGUGGGACAAUUCGUCGAACAACCAUAUAGCGAAGGGAAACUCCCCAUUCUAUUCCAAAGACCUUCAAAAUGCCGUCAUAUCUAAAAAUAUAUGAUGGCUCACGGACCCGGAGGAUCACUUAAUCCAUUACGUUACCGCAGUAAAAGGUAAUGAUUUAUCAAAGGAACAGGUGUCGUCUGUACUGCUGAAAAAGUUCAGCCAAACUCUGACAGGGGGAGCGUUGACAUGGUAUUCCCAACUACUAUCGUGCUCGAUUCAACGUUCAAAGAGAUGGCAGAUAAGUUCGUCACCACUCACGCGGGAGCGAAAAAGGCAGAGGCUAGGGUCAAUGAUAUCUCCGUCGUCAAACAAACGAUGGGAAAGGGACUUCAGGACUUCCUAGCCUGAUUCAAUAGGGUAAGGAUGAGCCUACCGAACGUGUCAGAAGGAAUGGCAGUAGCAUCCUUUCAAAAUGGGCAGAACAGAAACGGGUCAAAAGCAACCAAAAAGCUACUAAGUAGACUCAUGAAGUACCCUCCUACCACGUAGGAAAAAAUCCAUAAUGCCUAUUGCGUCGAAGUGAGGGCAGAUGAUGAUGACCUGAACGGUCCGCUCCAGCAAUUAACAUCAGUCCAAACCGAGACAAGGACAGAUCGCCGCAACGACAGUCGAAGGGAUCAACUACUACGUUUCAAUCGAGAAAGGCACCAGCCCUAUAUCCGAACAUCCAAUCCACCUUCUCCACGACACGUGGACGCCGCACCUCAACAUACUGCACCCCCUCCCCCCAAAACAAAAGAGGUAUGCCUCCACGGUUAUUUACUCAUAACUUUUGUGUUUCUCCUUCAGAAGUAGUGUACGCACUAGAAAAGCUCGGUACGAAGGUGCAGUAGCCGCAAAAGAUGAAGUCGGAUCCGAGCACCAGGAGGUCGAACAUCCUGUGUGAAUUCCACCAGAAAAGAGGAUACUAGACCGAAGACUGCAUAGGUCUGCGACAAGAAGUGGUCAGAAUGUUAAACUAGGGAUGCCUGAAAGAACUUCUGAGCGACCGAGGAAGGGCCAACUUCGGUUGUGGACGAGAUCAACCUCAAGGUCCUCCAAAACCACCAUCACUAGCUCGUACCAUACAAAUGAUCAUUGGCGGUAGUGACGACACAAUAAUCAACCAUGUGAAAUUCACCACCAUACAUAAACUCAAAUGGACGGAUGCCCACGAACGGUAUGAUGACCUCGAAGACAGUAUCAUCUUCGAUAAGUCGGAUACUGACGGUUUGUCUUUCCCUCACUAUGAUGCUUUGGUUAUAACUUUAUGCAUCGCAGAUACUGAUGUCAAAAGAAUAAUGGUGGAAGACGGAAGUGGCGCGUGUAUUGUUCACUCACGAGUUCUCAUAUAGAUGAGGCUCGAGGAUAAAAUAAUACUGCGUUGCAUAACACUAACGGGUUUUAAUAAUGCAGUGGAACGAACCUCAAAGGAAAUAGUGCUGCCCAUCCUAAGCUUUUUGGACGCCUAUUCCGGUUACAACCAAAUUCUAAUGGCUGAAGAAGAUCAAGAAAAGACCACUUUCAUCACUCACUGAGGAACGUACUGCUACAAGGUAAUGCCAUUCGGACUCAAUAAUGCAGGGGCGACAUAUCAAAGGUUAGUCAACAAGAUGUUCAAAGAACAACUUGGUAAGACCACGGAAGUUUACAUCGACGACAUGCUAGUAAAAUCGACAAAGAAAGAGGAUCACAUUGGCCAUCUGAAGGAGGCGUUCGAGAUAUUGAGGCAAUACGGGAUGAAGCUGAAUCCCGAAAAAUGCACCUUUGGCGUAACUUCAGGAAAGUUCCUUGGUUUUCUAGUGUUACAAAGGGGUAUCGAGGUCAACCCGGACCAGAUCAGAGCCAUCGAAGGAAUACCGGAGGUAUUGACCAGCAAAAAGCAGGUGCAGAAAUUAACAGGACGAAUAGCCGCCUUGUCGAGGUUCAUUUCACGAUCAUCGAAUAGAUGCCAUAAAUUCUUCAAUGUGCUAAGGAAAGACCAUGGAAUGCAGAAUGCGUCGAUGCCCUGAGAAAACUGAAAGCGUAUCUAUCUUCGCCACCCAUACUCGUCAAGGCAGACCCAAGUGAAUGUCUACUUGUGUAUCUAGCAGUCUCUGAAGUCGCUGCAAGUGCAGUCUUGGUAUGUGAAAACGAAGGUACGCAAUCUCCGAUUUACUAUAUCAACAAAACCUUAAUCGAUGUCGAAACAAGGUACCCUCACCUUGAAAAACUAGCUUUGGCAUUAGUCGUAGCUUCACGAAAGCUUAGACCAUAUUUUCAAUGUCACCCCAUAAAAGUGGUGACAACCUUCCCCCUGAGGGGUAUCCUACACAAACCCGAGUUAUCAGGUAGAUUGGCCAAAUGGGCCAUAGAACUAAGCGAUCAUGAUAUAACAUACCAACCGCGAACUGUCAUUAAGUUGCAGGUGCUUGCCGAUUUUGUCACUGAUUUCAGUGCGAAAAUAUUGCCUGAAGUAGAGCAAAAAGCUCCGCGCUUCCGCACACACCGACCUCUGGGUCCUCUACACCGACGACGCUUCUAAUGCCUCGAGAUCAGGACUAGGACUCUUCCUUGAAGUUCCUACGGGCGAAGUAAUUCGCCAGUCCAUACGAUGCCCCGAGAUGACUAACAAUGAGGCCGAGUAUGAAGCUGUGAAUACAGGCAGCCAGAUAUAACCUUGUAAACGGCGAUCUCUACAAAAGAACGUUCGGCAGCCCCCUGGCCAAAUGCCUUGGGCCAAACCAAACAAGACGAGUACUGGAAGAAAUACACGAAGGACACUUCGACGCCCACAAGGGAAUCCGCGCCAGAUACUACUGGCCCACCAUGAAAAAAGAAGCUGCAAACUACGUUAGAAGAUGCGAACAGUGUCAGAAGUACGCUCCUAUGAUACAUCAAGCAGGGGAACUCCUCCAUUCUGUCACUUCACCAUGGCCAUUCAUAAAGUGGGGGAUGGAUAUAGUCGGACCCCUCCCAGCCGGACGAGGUAAGGUACGUUUCCUUUUAGUAUUAACUGAUUACUUUUCUAAAUAGGUGGAAGCAGGUGCAUACAAACAGAUACGUGAGCAAGAGGUCAUCGCGUUCAUAUGGAAAAACUUAAUAUGCCGUUUCGGCAUCCCCAAAGAAAUUAGCUGCGACAACGGACCUCAGUUUGUCGGAAAGAAAACGACCGAGUUUUUCAAGAAAUGGCACAUCAAACAAAUACUCUCCAUGCCAUAUCACCCUGCCAGUAAUGGUCAAGCCGAAUCCGCCAAUAAAGUAAUACUGAAUAUAUUGAAUAAGAAGUUUGAGGACGCCAAAGGGCUAUGGCCUGAACUACUAUUGGAAGUAUUAUGGGCAUACCGUACCACACCAAAAACCAGUACUGGUGAGACGCCAUAUUCACUAGUCUAUGGGACUGAUGUAGUUAUACCCAUCGAGGUCGGAGAGCCUAGUUUGAGAUACUCCAACGAGAGCGGACCAAGCAAUGACGAAAGUAGGCUACAAGAUCUGGAUGAAGUCAAAGAACGGAGAAACAUGGACCAUAUAAGAAUGGUAGCCCAGAAACAACAAGUGGAAAGCUACUACAACAAGAAGGACAAAGUGCGACCACUCAAAAUUGGAGAUUACGUCCUCAAGGCUAAAAUAUAAGCAGCGAAAGACCCCAAUGAGGGAAAACUGGGAACAAACUGGGACGGACCAUACAAAAUCACAGCUGCAGCAAACAAAGGAGCAUUCCAGUUAGAGACAAUGGAGGGAAAAUUACUCCAAAACAACUGGAAUGUCGCCCAUGUCAAAUACUUCCAAUUUUGAAAGAAGGCGCCACCUAAGUCGUAAUCAUUUUCCCUCAUCCGGGUUUUGUCCCAAUCGGGUUUUCCCGGCGAGGUUUUUAAUAAGGCAUCAAGGGAGACAUCUUGAGGUUCUAAGUAUUGUUCAUUACCCCGCCCGUCGACAUGAUCUUCGGAGCAAAGUAAUGAAGGGACUGGAUAUAAUAAUCAAAUCUCCAUUGUAUGUACAAAGUCGACAUGUGAUUCUUACAAGAAUAUAAUCAAAUCUCCAUCGUAUGUAUAGAGUCGACAUGUGAUUCUUACAAGUAUAUAAUCAAAUCUUCAUUGCAUGAAUAAAGUCAACAUGUGUCUUCCUACGGGAAAAUGAUCAAACCUCAAAUGAGAAAUGGCUAAGGCUAUCGACGAAAAUAUGAGUUUGACCUCGUUCGAACUACGACGGGAUACUACUUCGGCGACAGUUCGAAGCAACAUCCCAAUGGCCAAGGCCAUCGACUAAAAUAUGAGUUUGACCUCGUUCGAACUACGACGGGAUACUACUUCGAUGAUAGUUUGAAGCAACAUCCCAAUGGCCAAGGACAUCGACAAAAAUAUGAGUUCGACCUCGUUCGAACUACGACAGGAUACUACUUCGACGAAAGUUCAAAGCAACAUCCCAAUGGUCAAGGCCAUCGACAAAAAUAAGAGUUUGACCUCAUUCGAACUACGACGGGAUACUACUUCGACGAUAAUUCGAAGCAACAUCCCAAUGGAUAAGGCCAUCGAUNNNNNNNNNNNNNNNNNNNNNNNNNNNNNNNNNNNNNNNNNNNNNNNNNNNNNNNNNNNNNNNNNNNNNNNNNNNNNNNNNNNNNNNNNNNNNNNNNNNNNNNNNNNNNNNNNNNNNNNNNNNNNNNNNNNNNNNNNNNNNNNNNNNNNNNNNNNNNNNNNNNNNNNNNNNNNNNNNNNNNNNNNNNNNNNNNNNNNNNNNNNNNNNNNNNNNNNNNNNNNNNNNNNNNNNNNNNNNNNNNNNNNNNNNNNNNNNNNNNNNNNNNNNNNNNNNNNNNNNNNNNNNNNNNNNNNNNNNNNNNNNNNNNNNNNNNNNNNNNNNNNNNNNNNNNNNNNNNNNNNNNNNNNNNNNNNNNNNNNNNNNNNNNNNNNNNNNNNNNNNNNNNNNNNNNNNNNNNNNNNNNNNNNNNNNNNNNNNNNNNNNNNNNNNNNNNNNNNNNNNNNNNNNNNNNNNNNNNNNNNNNNNNNNNNNNNNNNNNNNNNNNNNNNNNNNNNNNNNNNNNNNNNNNNNNNNNNNNNNNNNNNAUCCCAAUGGCUAAGGCCAUCAAUGAAAAUAUAAGUUCGACCUCUACGACGGGAAACUACUUCGACGAUAGGUCGAAGCAACAUCCCAAUGGCCAAGGCCAUCGACGAAAAUAUGAGUUCGACCUCGUUCGAACUACGACGGGAUACUACUUCAAUGACAGUUCGAAGCAACAUCCUAAUGGCCAAGUCCAUCGACGAAAAUAUGAGUUCGACCUCGUUUGAACUACGACGGGAUACUACUUCGACGAUAGUUCAAAGCAACAUCCCAAUGCCCAAGGCCAUCGACGAAAAUAUGAGUUCGAACUACGACGGGAUACUACUUCGACGACAGUUCGAAGCAACAUCCCAAUGACCAAGGCCAUCGAUGAAAAUAUGAGUUCGACUUCGUUCGAACUACGACGGGAUACUGCUUCAAAGACAGUUCGAAGCAACAUCCGAAUGUCUAAGGCCAUCGAUGAAAAUAUGAGUUUGACCUCAUUCAAACCUUGACGGGAUGCUACUUCGACGACAGUUCGAAGCAACAUCCCAAUGGCCAAGGCCAUCGACUAAAACACGAGUUCGACCUCAUUCGAAACAUGACGGUAUCCUACUUCGACGAUAGUUUGAAGCAACAUCCCAAUGGCCAAGGCCAUCGACCAAAAAGGGGAUCGACCUCGUCCAAAAACUAAGUCGACUUAACAACUCGACAUAUAUCCCGGAUAUCAUAGACAUUGCAAAAGACACCAACAAAUUGGAAAAAUAUAUUCUACAUUACAUCAAAAUGGUAUGUACACCUAUUCUUACAAACGGGCUAAAGCACGCCCCCUACAAAAAGCCCAAAAUUAACAGUAAGUACAAACAAAAGAUUACGCAUCAUCCCCGGCGGGGUUAGUAUCCUCGUACCAAGAGUCCGAAGCAAGACGAUUUGUAUAAUCAGAGUUGAUGUCAUCCACGUCAGGUGUAAGAGGGUCAUACCCGCAUGGCUCACGAGCCACACGAGCUUCGGUAUGCACGGCCUAAAGCUCCGCUUCUAUUGCCCUCCUCUCGGCGUGAAAAGCCUUGUACACAUCAAGACGAGCCUCAGUAAGGACCCGCAACUCAUAUAAACGACGAGGCAUGACCGUAUCAGCUGAGGCACGAGACGUAAAAGGCUGAGAGCGUCGACUUGCAUACUCCACCCUCAGCGAGGCCACUUGUUCAUUCAACGCAGAUAGCUCCACCUCCAGUUAUUUAACACGCCCCCAAGCCCCACGACCCUACGAUUAUAGGCCUCCGUCUCUUCAGUCAGCUCCGACCUACAAACACGGAGGUCAUCCUCCAAAGAUGCAGUUCCAGAAAUAGCUUCCGCAAACUUAUUAGCACCGACAUUCAGCUUGCCCUUAAGCCCUUCAACCUCCACCGCCUUCGCACUUAAUUCAGCGGUCAAACUGGCCACCUUUACUUGCAGGUUUUCGUCCAUCACCCCCCUGCUCAACUCAAGAUCGUCCUCUUUCACCUUAAGGGAAGCCUCGAGUUCACUAUUAUAGGCAACAGCCUUCCUGAGCUCCUCAUCCCGCUCCCUCAGCUCUUCAGUCUUACGCUCCAAUUGGCCCUCCCUCUAUUUGAUCCCCUCGCAAAACAAUUGAAAUUUAGGGUCCUGAUUAUAAAUGUCAGCCAUCGCGUGGUGCUUAGCACGAUACCAUUGAUACUUAGACGACAUCUUCUCAUAGAUGGCCAUCCUCCUCCUCUCCCAACGCUCUCGCUCGGUCUCCAUAAUGAGGGUCUGAUACAAAGGAAAAGGAGAAGUUAGAAACAAAAUACAAGUCGUCGAUCACCAUACAAGCCCAAUGAUGAGGAGGAAAGGAAAGGCACUUACACGCAAGGACAUACCAGCGAUGUUCUGAGACAAUUCCAUGUCGCUCAUCGCCGUAAGCACCUCGUUUUAGGGGGCAGCACAUAGAGGAGCUAAAACAGCCGCCACUUGCUCACAGUUCAGCAGCAGGUUAUAGUACCCUAGGACGACUAUGUGAUGAUCAGCCCCUUCCGCUCUGACCUCCACGUGAGUAUGGCAACUACGAACUCGUUGACAUCCUCCGGGUCGACAUCUGAACCUGAGUCAUCACCCUAGACACGACGACCUCCAACAUUGGACGAUGCACCGCCCUCAGAAGAGUGCACGGAGCUAGCUCUUGGUUAAACUCCUUCCGCUUGGGGAGAUCUCCCCGAUAAAAUGGUGUCAGCCAUAAAUGUGGGUACGGGUGCCGCCUCCGAUGCCCUACUUCUAUCAUCGUCCACUACCACGCCCUUCUCGAGCUCCAUUCUCCUCCUUUUUCUCGAUAACGGUUUGUCGCCAUUGGAGGAUUUUUCCAAAAGGUGUGGGGUCGGCAUUGAAGAAGCCUCCUCCCUCACGACCACGACCCGAGAGGGACCUUCUAAUUGUACAGGUUGAGGACGACCCUCUCGAACAGAUUCACUCAAAACAAACUACGUGUUCGCGGAAGCAAGCCUGUUGGAACGCAGGGACUGGCACUCUCCGCCUGGAAGCUCCUCGACCUGUCGUCACAAAGGGUCGUAUCAAUAAACGACGUCAUAUAGCUAACGAAAUGGUAAGAGAAACACUUACCAGAUGGAACUCUAGGGCCAUAACGCUUUACGAAGGUGGGCCAAUCUCGGGUUUCCGCUGCAUGGGGCAACAGACGGGCUACCCAAUCCCUUAUGCCUACAAUAGGGUGAGGUAGACGUCCCAUAGCUGCAAACGAGAAGCACACAAACAUCAUAAUGAAUACAGACAAAGGAAGAGUAAAACAAGCGGUGAAACUUACGAAUCUCAUUCCAUUGCUCCGGGAACCUGGCAGAAUCAGAAACAAUGUGUUCAGUUUUGACGAAGAAGUACUUGUGCCAAUACUUGCGACUUACCCGGUCUUCUGUCCUGACCACCAGCCCUUUUGUGCCACGAUGCCUCAAAUGUACCAUGGUACCCCUGUGGAAACUGGGUGAGAACAGAUGCAAAAGGUGAUGGAUGGAAACGUUACAUCCUGCCAACUCUGCAUGCUUGGUCAAUAGCAGGAGUAUCUUGAGUGUAUAUGACGAAAGUUGUGCCGGGCAGAUGUGGUAGAAUCUACAGAAUUCUUUCGCUAAUGGGAAGAGAGGAAAAGUAUAGCCAAUCGCGAAAGGGUACUCCUAGAAAGCGCAGUACCCAGAUUUGUGGACCUCUACAAAAUCUCUCCCCGCCGGAACCAUAUCGACAUGAGCGGGAAUGCCAUACUUUACGCGAAGAGCAUCAAUGUGAACUUUCUCCAUCUCAGAGAGUACGGGGUCAGGUGUAGGAGGGGGUUCUUUGAGGAAGUCACUUCGAGACAUGGGAUGUCUCGGCAGUAACUCCUCCACCGUAGGAAGGCUGUCACCCUCCUCUACCACCGUAUCUUCACCUCCCAAAGGGGACACUAUGGACAAUGGGGCGGCUUCAGGAAUUCCUUCGCGAGAUCGGUGUUUCCUUUGCAUGCUUUCGUUAAAAGCGAAAAAAGGUGUUGAUACCGUAGAAGCAAGGGAGGAAGAUGAAGUUGUGAACAAAGAAUAUCAGAAGAAGAAGCGGAAGAUCGUCAGUGCUAGCUCGGGUAGAUAAGGAGGGAUAUUCAGAGAUGAAAUGGCCAAGAACUUUCGAAAAAACAAACCCUCUUCCUAUUUAUAGGAAUGGGUGGUGCCAGAAUCGAAGCGGAAGGUCACAGAGAGGCACCAGAAUCUAAGCAACAAGCCAUCAACUCUUGUCUCGAAAACACGCGUAAUGAUGACACACGUGAAGAUGACAUCAUUUUCCGGUAAAAUGUAUAACCUGGUAUCUUGCCAAGCACGCUGACCGCCCACCAUUGGCCAAUGCCAUAACGCUUCGAAGGGUCAAAUAUUCCCGUAGAAACGCAUGUUAUCCGCUCAUCGAGGACGCACCAGGUUGCAACCUCAACAGGCGGAGGGACUAACUGUAUGGGUCCAAAUUUGAACAACCACCGACGUGUACGACGAAACGGCGAGUGCCCCAUAACCUGACGCCUUGCAGAGGACGACCUUAAGACAAAUAAGAGAUUGUACGACCCUUGUAAUAGUAUAGGCCUGUUAGGGGAUACUAAGAAUAUUCCUUAUAAUCAGUCUUUUACAGAUUAGAGGAGACUGACUCCCUAUAUAUAUAGCGAACCAUAACUUUGUAAAGGGGGGAUUCAGGCUAUUGGUCAUAAUUCUACUUAUGAAUGAGAAGUGUUCUUGAAAGGAUUUUGCUGAUUCAGAUCGAUAAAGAAAUCUUAUUAUCUGUCUUCUCCUUAUCCAUCUUUCCGUCUAGAGAUUAUUAUACUUAGCUAAGAUUUACCCCUUCAUCUUUGAUUGAUUUGUUCAAAAAGGUUUCAAUAUCUUUUGAGUCAAACACGCAUAACGGGAGCUUAGUGCACUGGACUGCAUUCUAAUGGAAAUACCUUAUAAAUUUAAUUAUCUUUUAGAGUUACAUAUACUUAUAGUGGAAUGGGGAUAGGACUUGAGUAUAUCUUACAAAAAGUUUUCUAGAUAAACGCUCUGCACCAAAUUUUAGCAUUAACCGAAACAAGGGAAACGUGUAAUUAGAGCUAAGAUUCUUACAAAUGAAGUUCAAUAGGUGUAAAAUAUGUUCAUUCCGGAUAUCUUUUCAGCAUUUAAGAUAGUCAAAAAUUAAAAAAUAAAUUUUAUCAAAGAGAUCAUUUUCUCGAUUGGCUUUAUACCCCUUUUAAAAAUUUGUUUUUAUUUCUACUACAUCUUUUUACAAUAUGUCUUUUUUUCACAUAUAAAAGAUCUGAAAAUAAUAUAUAAAAAAUAUUUAUAAGAUCAUUUUUUUCUAUUUAUAAACAGUUAAAAACCCAAAAAAGCAGAGCUUUGGUCUUUGGAGCUAAACUACAUCGUCCAUAGGGGACCAUUGACCACUAGAAUUUCGGUGAACCAAUUUUUUUUGCUUGGAUUCAUUGUCAAUUGGUAAUUUGUAUUCCCAAGAUUCAUAUGAACCUAAGCAGCCAGUCGACCCAUUCAUAAUAUUUACUACUCUCUUUCAUUUUCUAUUGUACUAUUUUAAAAUUAGAUUUAUUCAGAAAAAAAAAAGCGAAUAAUACAUUUUGUGUUUGGAAAUAAUUUAAUUUUAAUUUUUUAUAUUAAUGAUUUUUUUUAUUAACCAAAUAAAUAUUAUUACAAUUUUAAAAUUAUAAGUUUUAAAGUUUUUUAGUUGCAAAAAUAUGUUAUGUUAAAGACCGCAAAUCUAAAAAAUUUCUUUUUUUUGUCUCAAAACUUUUUUUUUGAUGAACUGGAAAUUUAUUUAUUAGAAGUUACUCAUUACAACAGUUAUGAUCCUGAGAAUCAUUACAUAGAGAAGAUAAUUCAUGCAUGGCAUGCUGAUUACCAAGUUUUACUAAAUGCCUACAAACAUUAAUAUAAACAAUUUUUACAUAAAUAUCUCUCAUUUUGUCCGCCAACAUCCUGGCCAUGAUAUAGGAUGGAGGAAUAGCUAAACAACAGAGUUUAUUGAUACUAGAAAGCAUAGUUGCAUGCUUAGUCAAAAGGUGAGUCACUUCGUUGCACCUUGACGAAAGUUAUGCUGGAUCACUAUCAUGCCUGUUAUGAGGAUUAACCACCUGCAUGUAUUAAUAAUAGAAUUGUAAGUUGUGCAACCAUUGUUAAGAUAAACAAUUACCUGUGUAGCAUUCGUUUUCAAUUCCAAAGGAUAUAAUUUCAUCUCAUGAGCAAGGUGAAGUCCUAAUUGGUAGAGGGCUUGAAGUUAUGUUUGAAUAGGCGCUCUCGAGUAAGAUCUUAUUUGGAAUCCUAGGAUCCAAUCUCCAUUGAAAUUCCUAAAUAUCCCCAACUCCUCCAUUUCUCAAAACUUUAUGUCCCAAAGAUUGCCAUAGGUGGAAGUAACAAAUUUAUGCCACUACAGCCAACGUACGGCUCAUUUCUUUUUCUUGAUGUCUUUUCCCAUUCUUUUUGUUUAUUAAAACUUCUUCAUCUUGCUUUUGAUCGUCCAAACAUUGUGUCUGGUGCCUUAGAUCCACUUGUAUUUGUUCAUAUCUACACAUUAAUAUUGUAGAAUCUUAUACUGUUACAAACCACAUAAUUUCUUUUCUCUAAAUUAAAAACCCACACAUCCUCAAGGUAAGUGAAAAAUAAGUGUCUUCACUCUUUCAUUCCUAUUCUGCUAUCUAUAAAUAAAAUAUGAGCUUCCCCCAACGCUCUACUAAGCCCUCUUCUGUCAGUUAUAUUACUCGAUUGCAGAGUAAACUAUUACUUUUUCUAUAACACAUUCUAAUACAUAUGAAGAUUGUCAUAACAUUACUGUAGUCAAUUGUGUUAGACGUGAAAGAUGCAUAUUAAGAUUCCAAAAGGCAGUGGAAAUUAUAGAUCCAAAUAAGUGGAAUUUAGUAGGUCCUAAGAUACUGAAUUUAGAAGGACAAAAUUCAGUGUACAUGCUCGCAAUCUCAAUCUAAUUAAGAUAUCGCUAGAGAAAUAGUUGACAAUGUAUAUACGUGUAAAAUCGGGACUUAUGAGAACCCUGAUUUUUCGGAGGGGCAAACGAAGCAAUGAUAUAAGUAUAAGGAAUCGGGAUCAAAGCUAGGAACCUCUCGUACUAUGGCCCGAGCAAAGCGAUUACCACCGAAGCCAUCGAGGCCAUGCCCUCCAGAUCCGGUUUGAGCUCCAAGACCUCGGAAAGCAUUACCAUACGUUUGCACAAGACUAACAAAGGGUUGUGAUAUCCGUGCCCAACAGGAUAUCACGACAUAGAUUUCAGCCUGUAUCGACAACAAUCAGUAAUUAACGAAAAAGAAGAUUUUUACCUUUUCUUAUAAUUGUACUAGAGAUGAAACUCUCCUACUAUAUAAAGAGGUAAUUUUUAUUCAAGUAGGACACUAUAACACGCAUAUCAAAGCAAUAUAAACUUGUUCUAUCUGCUUCAAAGUUAUUCAAAGUUCUUAUUGUUGCUCAUAGUUCAUCAUAAAUAUUUGGCUACAAAUCGAGGGCAGAACAAUUACUAAGCUCAAAUUCGAGCUCAUACUUAGUAUCACGACUGGUUUGGUUAUUUAUUUUACCUUUAAUUCGCUUAUCUAACGUUAUUGGUCACUUGUAUUGAAUUAAUCCAGAUAUCCUUAAAACUAUUUAUAAAUUCAAUUGUUAUCCAUUUUUAAGGGUAAACAAUUUGGUGCCCAUCGUGGGGCUAAGGAUAGUAGUGGUUGUUUGAUACAAAUUUCCAUAACACACUCUAUUUUACGCUUGUUCUUUGAUAUUUUAAUUUCAGAUCAACCCAAAAAUGUCAAAUUCUCUAUCUGCUCACUUGAAUAUUGAUGUUGAGUCUGACCAUUAAGGCGAAAACAACAAUAUGGUGCCUAACAACAAGGUCCCUCCAAUUGAUUCUAACAGAGUCCCAUUGCAGACCCAGUCGAUUCUAACUCGCAUGUGGCCAUCGAUGCCAACCUGCCAACCGACCCUGAGAAUAGCGUUCGUAGAGGAGUCCGACCAACGACUCGAGGUACGCCCGAAGGUGAAGCUGACAGGUUCAAUCUGUGUGUGAUAUUCAAAAUGUUAUAGGCCCAACAGGUGGCGAUAGCACAGCUACAGAAUCAAAGUCGCGCCCCCAGUAGAAUUGAGCCCGAACUAUCCCGGGAAAACACCGGAAGAAAUGAGCAGCUCACAGAAAGGCUGGGUGAAAUUGUGACUAGUGUCAGCUCUGAAGUAAUGAAAAUGCUUGAAGCAUUAACCAAACGGGUGGAGUCAGGUGAAAAGAAAAUUGAGUCAAACGAUAUGAAAGUAGAGACGUACAAUUCCCGAGUCGAUCAAAUCCCAAGAACGCAUCCGAUAUUGAAGGUCUUGGACCCCAAGGAUCCCGAAGAAGUUUCAUAUGCCCGAGAUUCUUAAAUAUAAUAGAGCUCCAUAUCCAAAUGAGCAUGUGACCUCCUACACAUGUGCCAUCAAGGGGAAUGACUUGGAAGAUGACAAAAUUGAGUCGGUUUUGCUAAAGAAGUUCGGAGGAACUCUGUCAAAAGGAGAAAUGAUGUGGUAUCACAACUUACCCUCGAAUUCUAUUGGUUCGUUUGCUAUGCUUGCAGAUACUUUUGUAAAAGCUCAUGACAGGCCAUCAAGGUCAAGACCAUAAAAUCGGAUCUUUUCAAGAUAAAACAAAGAAACAACGAAAUGCUUCGGGAGUUCGUAUCGAGGUUUCAAAUGGAACGGAUGGACUUGCCUCCGAUUGCGAAUGAUUGGCCAUUCAGGUAUUCACUCAAGGACUUAACCCCGAACCUCCUUGGAUUCAGAAUAGUUAAAAAGAAUUUGGUAAAGUACCUAGCGGUAACUUGAGCCGACGUCCACAAUAGGUACAGUCAAAAAUCAGAGUUGAGGACAAUCAGCUCGGGGCCCUUCUGGGUCUGUUUAACCCAUCGAAACCAAUGAUAGGUCUAGGAAAGUCAUCGAUCAAAAGCCGAGACCAAGCAGAGAUCUAUACCAACUCUAUAAUAGAAAUCAUAGGGGUAAUGGAUCUAGGAGUCACCCUAAUAAGAACGAGAAGAUAAGCGAUUGGGUCCACAUUAGCUGGGGACUGAUGAGAAAAAAUGGUUUCGCUAAACCACUCUAAGCAAGGGAGGCACCAAGGUUAUCAGAGUAUAACUUCAGUAUCGAUGCUGCCAGCAUCAUGUCUGCUAUCGAACGCAUCAAGGAUGCCAAGUGUCCUCGACUAUUAUAGUCUGACCCUACCUUGAGAGACUCUAACUUGAUGUGUAAGUAUCAUGGUACUCAUGGCCACAUGACCGAGUACUACCGACAAUUAAGAGAAGAAGUGGCCUGAUUAUUCAACAUCGGGCAUCUCCGAGAAUUUCUGAGUGAUCCAGCCAAAUCGUCCAUAGCUCCUGAUGAUACCAAUGCCACCAAAUCAACGGUUGAAGAACUGGAACAAGUCAUAUCGAACGACCACCUACCAGAUCGGAAGUUAUACCUAGGCACAGGGUUAACCGCCGAGCUCAAGAAAGAACUUAUUAGUUUCCUUAAAAUUAACAUAUCUUGUUUCACAUGGUCCCAUCUUGAUAUAACAGGGAUCCCGUCGGAGAUAACCACUCACAAGUUGAGUUUGGACCCGAAGUUCCCGCUGGUCAAACAAAAUAGGAGGUCUCAGUCCGAAGUUAAGCAUGCAUUCAUCAAAGAUGAGGUAUCUAAACUCCUUAAAAUAGGUUUCAUUCGGGAAGUUAAAUACCCGAAUUGAUUAGCUAACUAGUGGUAGUGCCUAAAAAAGGAAAUAAAUUAAGAAUAUGCGUAGAUAACAAAGACAUGAACAAGGCACACCCUAAGGACUCUUUUCCUUUUCUAGCAUCGAUUGCAUGAUCGAUGCGAUGGCCGGGCAUGAGAUACUCAGCUUUCUCGACACCUAUUCUGAGUACAACCAAAUCUGUAUGGGCACGGGCAAUAAAAAAGACUUCUUUUAUCACUAAAUUCGGCACCGAUUGUUAUAAUGUAAUGCCAUUCUGGUUAAAAUAUUGCCAAUUCCCCUUAUCAAUGCCUAGUAAUCUGGAUGUUCGAAGAACGGAUAGGAAAGUCAAUGGAGGUUUAUAUUGAUGAUAUAUUAGUCAAGUCCCUGCGAGUAGAGUAUAAUUUGAAACAUUUGCAGGAAACCUUUGACAUAUUAAUUAAAGAGAUACAAUAUGAAGAUGAUCCCAGAAAAAUGCACAUUUGGGGUCAGAUCUGAAAAAUUCCUUGGCUUCAUGGUGUCCAACCGAGGGAUCGAGAUCAAUCCCGAUAAAAGCAAAGCUAUAAAAGAUAUCACCGUGGUGGACAGUGUUAAGACCAUUUAGAGGCUAACCAGCAUAUAGCCACCUUGGGCCGGUUCAUAUCGAGGUCCUAAGACAAAUGCCAUCGAUUCUUCUCAUUAUUGAAGAAGAAUAAUAACUUUUCUUGGACCUCGGAGUGCCAACAAGCUUUGGAAGAACUCAAAUGAUACAUUUUGAGUCUACCCCUGCUCUAUAUUCCGAAGGUGGAUAAGCAGUUGACCUUUACUUGGCGCUAUUUGAGGUGGCGAUAAGUGGAGCCUUAGUCGGGGAAGAAUAAGUCACACAAUGUCCUAUUUACUAUUCUAGUAUAACUCUAGGCAAGGCCGAAACAAGGUAUCUUCACAUGGAAAAAUUGGUGCUUGCAUUGCUAAAUGCCUCCAGAAAGUUAAAACCAUACUUUCAAUGACACCCCAUAUGUGUCGUAACCUCUUACCCACAGAGGAACAUCAUGCACAAACCUGAGCUCUCAGGCCAUUUGGCCAAAUGGGCAGUCAAAAUUAGAGGGUAUGAUAUCGAGUAUCGACCCCGAACCACUAUCAAAUCACAAAUUUUGGCAGACUUCGUAGCCGACUUUACAUCGGCCUUGAUACUCGAAGUUGAAAGGGAAUUAUUGUUAACCUCGGGGAUUACCUCAGGAGUUUGGACACUCUUUACGGAUGGUUCUUCGAACGCAAAGUGGCUCGGGCUCGGCAUCGUGCUGAAACCACCUACGGGUAACGUAGUUAGGCAAUCUAUUAGAAUUGUGAAAUUGACUGACAACGAGGCCGAGUAUGAGGCCAUGAUUGCAGGUCUUGAAUUGGCUAAAAAUCUUGGAGCCGAGGUGGUCGAAGCUAAUUCCCUACUUGUGGUAAAUUAAGUCAAUGGGAUGUCUGAAGUAAUGCUACAUCAAUUCAAAGAAUGGACCCUACAGCAUGUGCUCCGAAAUCAAAAUAGUGAGGCCGAUACUCUUGCUAACUUAGGGUCAUCGGUUGAUGACAAUGAAUUUAGUUCGGGAAUAAUCGUACAGCUCAUCAAGUCGGUGGCAUAAGAAGGCCAUGCCGAAAUAAACUUGACAAGUUUAACUUUGGAUUGGAGGAACAAAUACGAAAGUUAUUUGAAGACUAGGAAGUUGCUCUCGGAUCAUAAAAAAUCGAAAGCUCUAUGCACGAAGGCAGCCACAUUUAGCCUAUUUGAAGGGACUUUGUUCAGAAUAACAUUUGACGGCCCGCUCGCCAUAUGCUUGGGGCUGGGAGAUACCAAAUAUGUCUUGAGAGAAGUUCACAAAGGCACUUGUGGAAACCAUUCAGGGGAGGAAUCUUUGGCUCGAAAAUUAAUAAAGAACUGGCUAUUACUGGAUAGACAUGGAGAAAGAUGCAAAGGACUUUGUACGAAGAUGUGACGGCUGUCAGAGAAACACACCGAUGAUCCAUCAACCCGGAGAGCAACUCCAUUCGGUCUUGUCCCUAUGGCCAUUCGUGAAAUAGAGAAUGGACAUCGUUGGUCCCCUGCCGCGGGCAUCUGGUAAGGCUCAAUUCAUAUUAUUUAUGGCUGAUUAUUUUUCUAAAUAGGUCGAAGCUCAAGCAUUCGAGAAAAUUUGGGAAAAAUAAGUCAUUGACUUUAUUUGGGACCCCAUAAUAUGUCGUUUCGGGAUACCAGCCGAGACCGUGUGUGAUAAUGGGAAGCAAUUCAUCGGCAGUAAGGUAAACAAGUUUUUCGAGGACCACAAGAUUAAAAAGAUACUAUCGACACCCUAUCACUCUAGUGGGAACGGACAAGCAGAUUCGACAAACAAGAUCAUAUUCCAAAGCAUAAAAAAGAGGUUGACCAAUGCCAAAGGCAAAUGGAAGGAAAUUUUGACCGAAGUCUUGUAGGCAUGCCAUACAACUUCAAAGUCUAGUACCGGGGCCACCUCAUUUUCAUUGAUCUACGAUACCUGUUACACCCCAUAUUUUCGUACGUGAAAGUACGUCGUAAGUCAAUUGAUGUAAGCUCGAAAAUGAGAUUUUCUUUGAAAGUAUAUAAAGUUAUCUAAUAAUAUUACAUCUCAUAUUUCCGUUCAACAUACAAAGGACUAGGUUAAGGAUGAAUGCACUUAAACGGGUGAAAGGAUAUUUUGGACAAAUAAAAAUGAACUGCUUUCUUACCUGAUGAGCCUACUUCACCAACUUACUUUCCGUCCUACUUGCUUGAGCUACUCGACACAUGUCUAAAUUAUUUAAUGAGGAUGAUACACAUAUUUCAAAAUAGGAAAAGAUCCAACAUGAAUCACCUACUUGAUUAAGUAGGUGACAAGUACGUGCAUCACCUACUUAAGAGUUUGUGGACCAAAUUAAAAGGGAAAGGAAAAGGAUAGAGAUGGGCAGCCUAACCCAUCUACCCAAGCCCAUUUGUAGGGCCAUAUAUACAUAGAUAUUUUACUAAGAAAACAAUUUAGAAUUACUCUCUCUAUAUUGAAAUGUGAAGGAGCUCCAAAACAUCAAUUCAAAGUUUCUCUCAAAGUUAUCUUAGGGCUCAAAACCAAAUCCACAAGUUGGUAAGGUGAUUUCUCUCUUUGGAAGAUCAAGCUCACCUAGUUAUCUCUUUCUGCUUUGUUGUCUGGGGUAAAGAGCUUGCUUGAGCUUGAAGUAAAGCAUAGUUUGAAAAGUACUCUUGCUACCAAGGUAAGGUUUAACUCUCCUAUAUGUAUUUAAGAUCAUCUAUAUAUAUCUAGUUAAUUUGUUAAACGAAACUUGUGAAGUAGGUUGAAGUUCAUGUUGAGGUGUUUAGUUGCUGAACUAUUUUGGAGUUGAAUUUUUGAUGUUUUAUGGCUAGAAAUCAGUAGAAAUAUCUUAAGAAUACUAUUACUAUUGUGGUUGAUGUGUUUAGAAGAAGAGAAGGCUUGGAAAGUGCAAGUUAGAACUUGGUUGUUGGGUGAGAUGGUGUGGGAUAUUUUGGUGAUGCGUUGUAAUGAAUAUGAGGUUAGAUAUCUUGUUGUUUGAUUUGAGGAAAAUGAAAUGAAUAAAGGGAGGUGUGUUGAUACCCAAUUUUUCCCUGUAUAUUUUUCAUAUAUUAAAAAUACUUUCAAAAUAACAUAUUUACGCAUAUAUAAGCAUGCCCAAGUAUUUUAGUAUUUUUUCCCAAUUUUUAAAGAUUUUUAAAAUCAAUUUGUUACUCAUUUCAGCAAUAUAAAAACUAAUAAUUAUUCCCAAAAUUAUCAUUUUGGNNNNNNNNNNNNNNNNNNNNNNNNNNNNNNNNNNNNNNNNNNNNNNNNNNNNNNNNNNNNNNNNNNNNNNNNNNNNNNNNNNNNNNNNNNNNNNNNNNNNNNNNNNNNNNNNNNNNNNNNNNNNNNNNNNNNNNNNNNNNNNNNNNNNNNNNNNNNNNNNNNNNNNNNNNNNNNNNNNNNNNNNNNNNNNNNNNNNNNNNNNNNNNNNNNNNNNNNNNNNNNNNNNNNNNNNNNNNNNNNNNNNNNNNNNNNNNNNNNNNNNNNNNNNNNNNNNNNNNNNNNNNNNNNNNNNNNNNNNNNNNNNNNNNNNNNNNNNNNNNNNNNNNNNNNNNNNNNNNNNNNNNNNNNNNNNNNNNNNNNNNNNNNNNNNNNNNNNNNNNNNNNNNNNNNNNNNNNNNNNNNNNNNNNNNNNNNNNNNNNNNNNNNNNNNNNNNNNNNNNNNNNNNNNNNNNNNNNNNNNNNNNNNNNNNNNNNNNNNNNNNNNNNNNNNNNNNNNNNNNNNNNNNNNNNNNNNNNNNNNNNNNNNNNNNNNNNNNNNNNNNNNNNNNNNNNNNNNNNNNNNNNNNNNNNNNNNNNNNNNNNNNNNNNNNNNNNNNNNNNNNNNNNNNNNNNNNNNNNNNNNNNNNNNNNNNNNNNNNNNNNNNNNNNNNNNNNNNNNNNNNNNNNNNNNNNNNNNNNNNNNNNNNNNNNNNNNNNNNNNNNNNNNNNNNNNNNNNNNNNNNNNNNNNNNNNNNNNNNNNNNNNNNNNNNNNNNNNNNNNNNNNNNNNNNNNNNNNNNNNNNNNNNNNNNNNNNNNNNNNNNNNNNNNNUAAAAUGUUUUCUGACUCCUCUUCUUCUUCUCUUUGUGUGAAUCUGUCUAUGCGAUGUUUUUAUGUUCUCUUUUCUACCUCGCAUGUACUUCCUCUGUAUUCUUAUGUUUGCCUUAUUUUGCAUGUCCUUCUAUUGUGCUCCGUUCUUUCUUCUACUGGUUUCUGUAUCAUGCUUUCACAUGUUUAUCUUAUGUGUUCGUUUACCCCUAUGUUCCUUUACUGUAUUUUCUACUAAACUUUUAGGUCUUUAGUUUCCUUUUUCUGGAUUUUGUUUGAGUUCUUUGUUAAACAUGUUUCCUCUACUGUUCUCUUAAGUGCUAUACUAUCUCGUUUCUCUUCUGAAACUUUUUUAAGUUUCAAGCUUUCUUAAAACGUGUUCUUUAUGCUUCAAAUCAGCUCUUCAUUCUAUUUGCCUUCAACCUGCUUUUUUAUCUGUUUGUUUUCACAUGAAUCCCUGAAAGAGACCGCUGAGCCUGUUUCAGUUAUUUGUCUUCACUUCUCUGUAUCUAACUCGAGUUGAAAACCCUGGGAUUUGGGGGUUUUUUGGCGAGUUUGAUCUUGUGUUUUGGACUAGGGUUCUAUUUGGGACCCUGGACACUCUCAAACUCAUUCUGAGUCUAUGUACUGGAUUUGAGCCUCUUUGUUAUGACCCGGAACUCUUCUAUACUAGGCUUUUUCGCAUGAUAGUUCUUUCUUGUUCGAUAUGUUUGUAUGCUUAUUUUGCCUUCAAAAGGUUUUGUCAACUUGUGAUUGAUUCGGAAUUCCUCUUAAUAAGGUUUGAUUGAUUGUUACUGAUUUUCUUUAAGUAAAACCCUUUCCUCAUUUUUCCUGACUUGGUUCAUUCCAACAAAGCCUGCAAUUUUGAUUUUACUGGCUGUUGAGUGAUCGUCUUUCCUUAUUUGCACAAACCAUGUACCACUAGACUUUUGCCUUAAAUAACUUCUGUGUAUUUACCCUUCUUGUGCUACUUUGGAAAAGAUUUUAAUCAAACUCUUUCCUUAAUUAACUUGCCCGUUUGAAAUCAGAAUCCCUUAAUUGAAGGGAGACCUUAUGUGAUUGAUUUCAAAACUAUUUUCUUACCUUUUCUUACUUGCUUUCUGCACUAUAAAGGGCACGACCCUUCUGCACUUUUACACACUUCCAAUUCAAUACUCUUUAAGACAUUGAGUUCGAUACUCUGACAACACUUAUUGAACACUUUCAAUUUCAAUACUCCUACACUCUCAAUUCAACACUCUACUUUCUUCUGAAAUCUUCUGGUUGUGUGUUUGCAAUUUGGCUUUACUACUGCUCUUCUCUUCUUAUUUCCCUGAAACUGGUAUGUUCUAAUUUAACUUUCAGCUUCAUCCCUAUGUGUUUGCUUUACAGUCUCAACAAUCUUGUCUACUUUGCUGUUUAUGUUCUGUAAUGAAUAUGCUGUCUCUUUGCAUCUGUUGCUGUGUGAAUUCCCCAUACCCUUAUUCCCUUUUAUGUGUUUGAGUUAAAGUUCAAAGUAUGGCAAUAUCCAAAUUGUUGCUCAUGUCUGGACUUGAUCCUUUAAUGGAUUCUAACUCCCAAACAAUGUGGCUAACAGGUUGGUUGGGGUGUGCUAGCACUUUCAAUUGCUGGGUAUGAUCACCAGCCUGUCUUGGCUUUCCCCCAAAAUCUCCUCUAUGCACUUGCACUCUCUCUUAGAUUCUAAGUUCUGCCCCCCUCCUAUGAGCCUUGCUUUGGGACCUUGAGCUCCCUCUAAACUUAGACAUUUGAGGGUUGGCCCUUCCACACUGCACUAUAAUCCAAUUAUGCAAUAUAUUUGGGUGUAAGCACUGCCCGGAGUCCACUUGAGACUCUUAGGGAACUCUGACACAUCCCGAAUAGGAGAAAGGCUUUGGAAUUUGAUCUUUGGAGUUGGUUUACUUCAUGCUUCAGACAGAAGUCUGAAUCAGGCUCUCCUUAGUUGGGAUUUUUAGCUUUCUAAUGUAAUUUUAUUUUACUUUUCUUUAUUCAUUCAGGGCUGUAAUAAUUUGUAAUAACUUAUGGGGUUUUAGUGAAAAGGGGAGGGUCUCUCAUGUAUGCAUAAGGGUAGAUAUCAUGUUCACAGGUAUUUACUGUUGCAAUCAUGUCCUAUUUUCACUUCUGCAUUUUUCAUAUAGAAAUCAUGUUUACAAGUCCUGCAUUUAUGUGUUUUUCAUAUAGAAACCAUGCCUACAGGUUCUGCAUUUCAUACGUAGAUACCAUGUCUAUAGCUUCUGCAUUUCAUACAUAGAGACCAUGUCUAUAAGUUUCUGCGUUUCUGCCUAUCACAUAUAGAACAUGUCUAUAGAGUUUCCUGAAUUCUGCAUAUGCAUCUAUCACUAGGCAAACGCAUUUAUAGGUGUAGACAUGUGAUUUUUGACCCUCCCCAAGAUUUUUCAUAUUUUAGCACGUAAAUAUUUAAUUUAGGCCCAAUAUAGCUAUUUCAACUCAUUUUUACUUUUUUACUUUUAUUUUAUUACAAGAAAAUAAAAAUUACAAAAAAAAAUUAUUUUAUGUACCUUUCAUAAAGUAAAAAUAAAAUACAAAAAAAAUAGUACCUUAUUUUUAUCUUUAUAUAAUCUUGAAAUAUACAAAAAAGAGUCUUCUUAGCCCAAAAUUGAAACACAAAAGGACAUGGUCCAACCCAAUUACCCUUAGCCCAUUCUUCCCAACCCAUUAGCCCAUUUAAGUGCAAGAUUUAAUCCUAGUCAUCUAUUUCCUUCUAAUCCAAUGGUCAUCAGCCCUUCCCACUUCUAUAUAAAAUACCCAAUUAUAGAAACUCUACCCUUAAGUUUUCAAUCCCUAGACCUAAACUACACAAAAGACGGACGCCUAAAAAUCUAAAAGAAAGAAGGCGUCUGAAGAGAAACACCAUUUUUUCUGAAAAGAGGAACCCAAUCCCGGAAGAAUCCAAAAUUUCGAGCCUGAUUAUUACUCUUCCCCUCUCUAGAUUUCCUCAAUUUCAAUCUUUCCGUGUAACCCAUCAUUGUAUCAUACGUUACCUCACCAUUAAUUUAAUACCCCAAGUCCCCAACUGACCAAAAAAUGGCUUUUUCCUUUUUCAAAACAAAAUUUCCAUUUUAACUUCUCCGCACAGCAAAAUCUCCACUAUAAAAUUGUACAGAACCAAACCCGCCAUAAAAACCUAGAUCCUUACUUCCACAAUACUGCCAAAGAUAGCUAAGGUUUCUGAGUCGAGGUUACCGUUCGACAUCGCCGAGAUCACCACGGUGCUGAGAAUAAGUUGAUUCACUAGAGGUAUUUUCUUUUCAUAUUUUGUCUUUAUGACCUGUUGAAUUGUUUGAAUAAGCAUUAAAGUUUGGGGUAAUAUAUAUUGUUACUUGGAAUAUUUGUUUCUUUGGCCCUUUCUGUACUUCUUUAUUUUUGGAAAGAUGGCGUGAGGUUUGUUUCUUUUAGCUGAUGUUUUGUUUGUUUGAAUUUAUUGUUUUAAUUUCUUCACUAAUGAAUUAAUCUAAUGCUAGCUAUUAUCAUUUUGGUUUGUUUAAUAAAAAUUGAAUUCCUUAAGUAUAUAAAUAGUGACACAAAGAACAAUGUGAGCUGGGUUUGUCUAUUAGUGUUAAGCGGCUCGAUUUCAAAAGUUGAUUGGCAGUAUUAGAAACACAUAAUUUCGGAUCUUUGAUUUAUCUAAGCAUUGGGUGUUGCUGGACUAUUUUUGAAGAAAAAGGGGAAAUAAUUUGAAUUUGGGCUAAUGUAAAAAUACAGUCUGGUUCGAGGAAUUUGAUUGUGUUCGAUUGUUAUAGUUGAAUACAAAUCUCUUCUUUAAAGAAAUUUAGGCGUGCCAUUCACACAAUUGAAUCACAUAGCCUAUGACCCUCAUAUUAAGUUUACAACUAUGUGUAGAAAGCACUUUGAAUUCUCGUAGUUUGCUUUAGGCACGUUAAUUAAAUAAAGUGUCAUAGCUAUGGGUACGGUUCCUGUGACGUAGCCGUGACACACAAUUUCCAAAUCUGGGUGUGCAUUUCAUGUGACCCAAAUCCAN